rnacentral:rRNA from 1 species
CCUACGGGAGGCUGCAGUGAGGAAUAUUGGUCAAUGGACGAGAGUCUGAACCAGCCAAGUAGCGUGAAGGAUGACUGCCCUAUGGGUUGUAAACUUCUUUUAUAUGGGAAUAAAAUGUUCCACGUGUGGGAUUUUGUAUGUACCAUAUGAAUAAGGAUCGGCUAACUCCGUGCCAGCAGCCGCGGUAAUACGGAGGAUCCGAGCGUUAUCCGGAUUUAUUGGGUUUAAAGGGAGCGUAGGUGGAUUGUUAAGUCAGUGGGGAAAGUUUGCGGCUCAACCGUAAAAUUGCAGUUGAAACUGGCAGUCUUGAGUACAGUAGAGGUGGGCGGAAUUCGUGGUGUAGCGGUGAAAUGCUUAGAUAUCACGAAGAACUCCGAUUGCGAAGGCAGCUCACUGGACUGCAACUGACACUGAGGCUCGAAAGUGUGGGUAUCAAACAGGAUUAGAUACCCGGGUAGUC